AAAUCUAUGAAAUUUUAACACAAGGUUUAUGACCACAAAAGGAAGGUUGGUAUUGAUUUUGGGAGUUUUGGUCCCAACAUUUUAGGAAUUAGGGGCCAAAAAGGGCCCAAAUAAGCAUUUUCUUGGUUUUCGCACUAUAACUUUAGUUUAAGUUAAUAGAAAUCUAUGAAAUUUUGACACAAGGUUUAUGACCACAAAAGGAAGGUUGGGAUUGAUUUUGGGAGUUUUGGUCCCAACAUUUUAGGAAUUAGGGGCCAAAAAGGGCCCAAAUAAGCAUUUUCUUGGUUUUCGCACUAUAACUUUAGUUUAAGUUAAUAGAAAUCUAUGAAAUUUUGACACAAGGUUUAUGACCACAAAAGAACGGUUGGGAUUGAUUUUGGGAGUUUUUGGUUUCAACAGUUUAGGAAUUAGGGGCCAAAAAAGGGCCCAAAUAAGCAUUAUUCUUGGUUUUCGCACAAUAACUUUAGUUUAAGUAAAUAGAAAUCAAUGAAAUUUAAACACAAUGUUAAUGACUACAAAAGGAAGGUUGGUAUUGAUUUUGGGAGUUUAGGUCCCAACAGUUUAGGAAUUAGGGGCCAAAAAGGGACCCAAAUAAGCAUUUUUCUUGGUUUUCGCACCAUAACGUUAGUAUAAGUAAAUAGAAAUCUAUGAAAUUUAAACACAAGGUUUAUGACCAUAAAAGGAAGGUUGGUAUUGAUUUUGGGAGUUUUGGUCCCAACAGAAUAAGGGGCCCAAAGGGUCCAAAAUUAAACUUUGUUUGAUUUCAUCAAAUUGAAUAAUUGGGG
rnacentral:lncRNA from 1 species